UUGAUUUGGGGUUUUUGUUGGCCUCCAGAAAUUGGAAUCAUACGUCUUAGUGGAAGCCCGGGGGUGUCUAUUUUGGUUCAGCAUGCUGCGGCGGUUCCUUAUUGGACAUUUCUUUUCAGACUUAAUUCUUCUUUGAUAAUACAUCAGAUCUCCCUUCAGAGUAACAUUAAGCUCUUGCAGAUAUGGCCAUGGAAGAUAAUUUGCUAUUUCGAAGUGCUGCCCGAUCCUGCCUAUGCAUGCACUAAUAGCCCUCAGAGUUUGAUGCAUACUUCCAUUAAUUUUCUUAUAAGCUCUAGCCCCCAAAACUGAAAAUUCAUAGGAAGGUCUCUUGCUUGCUCGCUGCAGGUUCUAGUUGCCGAAUUCAAGUCAGACCUAAUGCUGAGUACAACCUGUUCGGAGAUAUUUUAAAAUCUACUCACCUUCUCAAUUCAUCAUAAAUUUCCUAGCGAUAAUCAUCUUACAGAACAAUAUUUGAACAUUCAGAUUGGUAUGCACCCUGAGGAUGAUCUGGAGCUUCAAACUAGCGCCAUCCUACAACUAAGAAAACACCAUUCUCUCUUUCAAUUUCUACCGCUUUUAUUUGGAGUCCAUCUGUUUGUUUAUUUUGGUUAGUUACCUCUGUUCAUAGCUUUGAUUAAGGUUUAUCGUUUCUGCCCAAUAUGCUGCAGAUCCUUUUUACCCUGGACUUAGCUUGGCAAUGGCCUGAAAUCUGUUAAAUCGUUUGGUUUGCUAUCUAUCUCUUUGUAGUUUGAUCAUGUUUUCCGUAUUAGUCUACUAUAUGCGUCGCUAUGCAUCUUGGCUGCAGGAUAUAAGUGGGGAGUUGGACCAACCUGGGUUUUUGUAAGUGGAGUAAGGUUAGUGUUCCGUGGGAGGUCUUUUCGGUUCAUUUGUGUUCGCCUCGAGGAUGCAUUGGUUGCAGGAGUGUGGAUCUUAUCUGGAACUAGAGAUUAGUCAUCACAUGGUGAAGAAUCUGAGGAGGUCAGUUUCCCGUGCUCCGUCAGAUCAGUUUGUUGGUUGUGUGUUACCUGCUUUCGGUGGUUACAGAUGAAUAUACAUUAGCUGUGUUACCUGCUCAAGGAGAUUAGUCUGUGGCGUUCCCUUCUGAUGGCUGGUCAUGUCCCUUGAUCUGAGUUUGAUUUGAGGCCCUGUGUUGAUUAUAUUAUGUUGUAACAGCUGAUCUCGCUUCUGGUAUUUGUUUGUGCUCCUUGAGAUGCGCAGGAAGGAGCAAAUGGUUGUUGAUAGAUAAAUUGGAGGAUGGAGGUUUGCUUUACUGCUCAAUGGCUAACUUGGUUUGUUAUGGUUCAAUGGUUAUUUUGGUUUGGUCAGAUACUCUGAGCUGAAGUUUUGUGGUAGAAGCUGGGUUGGAUCUGUGAUCAUUCGUAUCAGGAAACUUUUCACUGAGUUUGGAUAAUCAACUCUCCUCAAUUUAAUCAUUUUGUCUGCACAAUUCAAUUUAGUGCACACUAAGUCUGAUUUGUAUCAUUGGUUCUUCUCCAGAAUUGGAAAAUUAUGUGCGGCUGGGCGGGAUUUCUGGUUUUCCUUUUUGUGACCUCACAUCUUUUGAACUCCUCAACUAUUUUACUGUUGAGACAGAAGUUUUCUCUGCCUUCGUUGGUAAUUCUAUGUUUUUGCAGACAUCCAUUUAAACGGAUUGUAACCGGUGGACCUGAUUUCUCCCAGUCUAAUCUGAAUGAGGCUUACCCCUACCCCUCAGGCGUUUGGAUAAUCAACCCCACUCCAUUAAUUUAAACUAACUAUUUAGUACAGUUAAUCUCAGAGAAGUCUGAUUUCGUUUUGUUGGUGGUUCCCAGAAUUCAGAAUUAUACUCAGCAGGGCUGCGGGAAUCCACCUUGCGGACUUACCUUCUUGAUGAUCUAUGUUUCGAUAAUCAACCUCCCUAGAUUUAAAAAAAUCAUCUAUUUAAAAUUUAGUCUCCUUCUGAUUUUGAGUUAUUGGUGAUUUCCAGAAAUUGCUAUUGGCGGGCGGUUUUCCCUGGCAUGAUGCUUCCUUGUUAUGACUAAACUUUGCCGUCUUUCCUUCUUUUACAGCUGAACUUUCCCGAUACUAGUUUUCUCUGCCUUAUAUAUCCUCAGCUCUUGCAGAUGCUGACUCAAAAGUGAUAAUUUGCAAUUGGGACCGAGUGUUGCCUAGCUGAACCUUACCAACCUAGACAGGCUACCCUUUACCCACUCAUCAUCAUCAUCACUUGAUGCAUGCUUUAGUUUGUUAAAUGUAAAGUUUAUAGAAAUUCCUCUUCCUCGAUGCAGGUUCUAUAUUCUUGGUUGAUGAGUACAAAUCAACAUUUAAUGAGUUUUAAUCUGUUCACAGAGCUUCAUAAUCUACUAUCUUUUCAAUUCAUCAUAACAUAGAUAACCUAUCUUACAUGGUGUAAUAUUCUAAAUUCAGAUUGAUCUGGAAAGGUGCAUGAAUCUAAGGAUAAUCUGGAACUUAAAAGGAGUGGCACAUCCUACAACCGACUAAGAUUUAUUGAUCUCUUACACUCCUCAUUUGAAGCCUAUAACUUACUUACUUCUUCUGUCUUUAUGUUAUUUAGCUGCUUUUCCAUCCAUGUCUUUGAUUUAGGUUUUGCUUCUACCCUUCCUAUGGUUGCAGAUUUGUUUUCCCUGAGGCUGUGCUGGUAGUGACUGAAAUUCUGUUAAAUCGUUUGGUUUGCAAUCUAUCGUCCAUCUUUAUGUUCGAUUCGGUUUCUGCUCCAUGUGCCUUUGGUCGUCUGCAUGUGUUGACUACAGGAUAUAGUUAGGAAUUGGAUUAGCCCUAGGGAAGAAAAUAAAUCUACGGGGAGCCAGGUCAGUGUUUCGUGGAUGGUCUGUUUGGUUCAUUUUGUGUCCGCCUCCGCUAGUUGGCUGCAGGACUGGAUCUGGUCGGGAACUUGAGCCCUCUACGGCAAAGGGUGGUUACUUUAUUGGUUAUGGCUCGGUGCUUAUUUGAUCUCGCCGAAACUUGUGAGCUGCUGGAUUGGAUUGCUGAUAAUGGGAUGGAACCAGAGAAGUUACAUAUUGUGUUGGGACAAUCAGUCAUUCUGAAUUUAAUUUCUUUCUCAAUUGAGUGUACACCAAUUCCAAUUCUGAAACGGGUUGUUGGUUCUCCAGAUAUUGGACUUGCACAACUUGGCGAAGAUAUUAAAAUGGAGGAUUUCAUUCUGGAGCCAAAGGGUUGUUGUCUAUCUCCCAGCUGAGCAAGCUUAUCCUAUUCCCUCAAUAUUUGAUGCAUGAACAAAAAAUGUACAGUAAUGUCUUAGGUCUAACCUGAUGUUGUGUUAUAUCUUUUUGGAGAUCUUAACCCACUACCUUCUCAAUUCACAACAUAUUUUUAAACGUAAAAGAUUAUCAAAGUGUCUCACCGAGAGGCAAUAUUUGGACAUUCAGAUCGAAUUGUGGAGGUACAAUGAUUCUGAGGAUGCUUUGGAGUUUCAAUUAGAUGGCACAUCCUACAAGAGAAAAACUAAGUCCUCUCUAUCUACACUAUACCUUUGAAGUUAUUUUCUUGACUAUGGAUUGUUCUUCUGUUUGAUUUCACCCCAAAGCGCAUUUGCACGGUAAAUGAUAGCAGGGUACUUGCAGAUGUUGAUCUGAUAUGCGUUAUGGAAGAACAGUAGGCCCAACAGUUGUUUCACACUUUAUGGCAUUUAUUCCAGUUGAGAGUUCAUAUAUCUGACUUUUGAAGUAUAUGGUUAUAUAUUUGGGCUUCUCAUUGAUUUGCGGUGUUGGAGAUUCUUAGUGCAAAGAGAGUUGGAAGAUCUAGCAAAACGUUGGCUAACUGGGGGGUCUUUUUGUGAAGCUUCAAGCCAUCAACUAUGUCUGCUUUCCCAACUGUUCUGAGUUCUAAUCAAAAAAUCUUGAAGCAUAUUAUUACUUGAUUUCGUCCUCUGCGGCAGCUUACACUUUCAACUUGCAUUCAGUGGCCCCAUCUCUUUGCUACAACUUGAAGUCUUUAGUUGCGUGCACAUCUGGAUCUUCUGAUUAGUAACCCUGAAGUUUAUAUUGGUCUCUGUUGUGUUCCAACUUUGUUUGGAUGGAAUCUGUUCUCAUCUGUUUCUUGUGUGGCUGGACAUAGGAGAUGAGAGAAUUCACUUAGAAGUCUUUACUUUGUUACCAUGUUUGUUUCUAGAAGUUGGGUUUCAUGCCAAUAUCUUCAGUUUUAUCAAUGCACUCAGCUGUGUUUUAUUUCUCUAGCAGAUAGGAAGCCAGAUUGCAUGUACAUGAGCUCUGAAGGCAGUAAAAGAUCCCUACAGUUAUAUACGUGAAUUAUUUUGAGAUCAUGUCUGGAUUUGC